UACGUAGGGGGCUAGCGUUGUUCGGAAUCAUUGGGCGUAAAGCGCGUGUAGGCGGUCCGGUAAGUCCGCUGUGAAAGCCGGGGGCUCAACCCUCGAAUGCCGGUGGAUACUGUCGGGCUAGAGUGCGGAAGAGGCGAGUGGAAUUCCUGGUGUAGCGGUGAAAUGCGCAGAUAUCAGGAGGAACACCUAUUGCGAAGGCAGCUCGCUGGGACGUAACUGACGCUGAGACGCGAAAGCGUGGGGAGCAAACAGG
rnacentral:rRNA from 1 species